UACGAAGGGGGCUAGCGUUGCUCGGAAUCACUGGGCGUAAAGGGUGCGUAGGCGGGUCUUUAAGUCAGGGGUGAAAUCCUGGAGCUCAACUCCAGAACUGCCUUUGAUACUGAAGAUCUUGAGUUCGGGAGAGGUGAGUGGAACUGCGAGUGUAGAGGUGAAAUUCGUAGAUAUUCGCCAAGAACACCAGUGGCGAAGGCGGCUCACUGGCCCGAUACUGACGCUGAUGCACGAAAGCGUGGGGAGCGAAACAGG
rnacentral:rRNA from 1 species